UGCUCCUAUAAACAUAAGCUCAUCUGCGUUUUCACAGAUUCACCUGCAAUCUACAGGCAGAUAUCACGUAGAAUUAAACCUGGUGGAUUCUCUGAAAUUUCAGAUGUCUUGUGUGAGAUCACAUCUCAAGGUAAAAGCCCACCACAUGAGAGCUUGGACAACGUGUUAAGAAGUGACAUAAAAAGAAACAAACUGAGCAAACACCUAACGCCUAAACAUGCAGCCAUUCCAUUUCAAUGAGGAUGAAUAUACUGACUGCACUUUGUAUCACCCUCUGCUUUUCCCCCUCUAUCCCAUCAACUGAAGUAACCAUUCUGACCUUUAGAGGAUGCUGUUGUCAUUAGGACGAGGCCUAUUUGUGAGCAAACGCUCUUAUUCUCACUUUUUCCUCAUUUCUACUAUUCUCUGUGCUGAAUGGAUCCCUUCACCUGCAUGGAGUGGUUUUCCAUUAGUAGCAAAAGCAGUUCGAAAAGAGAAAGAUUGAGCGCAUAUUUAUAAUGCCACACCAAAUGGUUCCCCGACGCAGUGAAGCGUGACUGUGAAAAUGGAUUAUCGUGCAGAAUCAAGCCAAACACUGUCAAGAGUGUGCUGCACUGAUGCUGACGUUAAACAGCUUACAAACACAACUGCAACUGCACCUGAAUCACUCCAGGGAUUCAGAUUUUUUUCAUUCCCAGACUGCCAACCUAAUUUUUCAGAGUGUUUCAUAGGCUUGUAAACAUAAGUGUUUCCUGAAUAACUCUCUUUCUUGGUCCUUAUUUAGGAUUUACUGUUUAGGAAAAAGAUGUUUUUACUAAAGUACUGAAAGGAACUAAUUGGAAAAUCUGAAUCAAUCUGGCCGACUGGACCUGAGUGUGGUGUGAUUAAAACUGUCUUCUACACCCAAUCAGACAAAUCAAUGUCAUUUUGUCAAUUGUGUUUCCUAAACAGACUUAAAAGCAGGACCGUUAUCACUAAAUUCUGUCAUCAUUUACUCUCACCCUUAUGUUGUUCCAAGUCUGUAUGAAAACCAGAUAUUUUGAAGAACUGUUUGUGUUCAUGCAUUCAAAGUCAAUGGGGACCAAAACAACUUUGGACCCCACUGGCUUUCAUUUAUGGACAAAAAAAGCAAUGAGACAUUUUGUGUACUGAAGACAGAAAGAAAGAAAGUUAUAAAGAUUUGAAAAAGAAAAUGUGGCUACAUUAUUGAAAAAAUCUGACCAAAAUCUCUGGUAACAUGUAAUGAAGCUUUUUACGCAGACGUUAGUUGCAUUUUAAUCCCCUGAAG